rnacentral:rRNA from 1 species
GUGUCAGCCGCCGCGGUAAUACGUAGGUGGCAAGCGUUAUCCGGAAUUAUUGGGCGUAAAGCGCGCGUAGGCGGUUUUUUAAGUCUGAUGUGAAAGCCCACGGCUCAACCGUGGAGGGUCAUUGGAAACUGGAAAACUUGAGUACAGAAGAGGAGAGUGGAAUUCCAUGUGUAGCGGUGAAAUGCGCAGAGAUAUGGAGGAACACCAGUGGCGAAGGCGGCUCUCUGGUCUGUAACUGACGCUGAGGUGCGAAAGCGUGGGGAUCAAACAGGAUUAGAUACCCGAGUAGUCC